rnacentral:rRNA from 1 species
CCUACGGGGGGCUGCAGUGGGGAAUAUUGGACAAUGGGCGAAAGCCUGAUCCAGCCAUGCCGCGUGUGUGAAGAAGGCCUUCGGGUUGUAAAGCACUUUCAGUGGGGAAGAAAGCCUUGGGGCUAAUACCCUCGAGGAAGGACAUCACCCACAGAAGAAGCACCGGCUAACUCCGUCCCAGCAGCCGCGGUAAUACGGAGGGUGCGAGCGUUAAUCGGAAUUACUGGGCGUAAAGCGCGCGUAGGCGGUCUGAUAAGCCGGUUGUGAAAGCCCCGGGCUCAACCUGGGAACGGCAUCCGGAACUGUCAGGCUAGAGUGCAGGAGAGGAAGGUAGAAUUCCAGGUGUAGCGGUGAAAUGCGUAGAGAUCGGGAGGAAUACCAGUGGCGAAGGCGGCCUUCUGGACUGACACUGACGCCGAGGUGCGAAAGCGUGGGUAGCAAACAGGAUUAGAUACCCUUGUAGUC